rnacentral:rRNA from 1 species
UACGAAGGGUGCAAGCGUUGUUCGGAUUUACUGGGCGUAAAGGGCGCGUAGGCGGCCACCGCAAGUCGACUGUGAAAUCUCCGGGCUUAACUCGGAAAGGUCAGCCGAUACUGCGGGGCUAGAGUGCAGAAGGGGCAACUGGAAUUCUCGGUGUAGCGGUGAAAUGCGUAGAUAUCGAGAGGAACACCUGCGGCGAAGGCGGGUUGCUGGGCUGACACUGACGCUGAUUGUGCGAAAGCUAGGGGAGCGAACGGG